CGGAACAGGAAGUGAGCGCAACAUGUAAACACUCCAGCUGUUUCAGUUUAUGUAGCAGCCGUUCGCAAGAGAGCGUUUAACGCGAAUUAACUCUAGAAUUCUAGUCAAAUUAUGCGUGCCGCCCCAAAGAAUAGUGAGUAAGCUUUUGUUUCUUUAGCAGCAUUGGGUUAAAUAUCUGUGACAUUAAGUGAUAAAAGAUACUAGUUGUCCAUAUCCUUACUUGCAACGACGCAGCAUCAAUGGCACAUGAACUUGCAGAUGACCUUUUUACGCAGCUGAACAUGGGUGUGAAAGGAUUACAGUACUUUAUGGAGACAUGUUGCCCAGACACUUGUGUGCCAGUGGACCUGAAACAGAUGGCAUUGAAUCACGUCAAAGCCCAUCCGGAUAGCGCUGCCACGAUAGUAGUGGACGGAAUGGCCUGUUUAAGGUAUUGGUAUCGCUGUCAAGCUUGGGUCCAUGGUGGCCAGUGGCAAGAGUAUAUGCAUAUCCUUCAAGAAUUUGUCGAUGCAUUCACGGCUGUGGGCAUACGCUUAGUCUUCAUCUUCGACGGAACGGUCGAGGAACAAAAACGGGCAGAAUGGGUGAAGAGGCGUCUGAGAGUCAACCAAGACAUAGCAAGAAUAUUUCAGUACAUUAAGACUCACGGUCAGCAGCCGAACAGCAGAGAACUUUUCUGUCUUCCCUCUGGACUCGCAACCUUCUCCAUAUUUGCCCUCAAAAGCCUCGGCCAAGAAACAAGAUGCUCGGUCCGAGAAGGAGAUUAUGAGGUUUCCAACUAUGCUUUGUCUCACAACUGCAUGGGCAUCCUUGGUCAAGAUACAGACUUUGUUAUCUACAACACGGUCCCAUACCUGUCCAUCAGUAAACUCAAUUUAAACAGAAUGACAACAGUGCUGUUCUCCAGAGAGAGGUUAUGCCAAGUUUUGAAGCUGCAUAUGACUGACCUUCCUCUCUUGUCCUGUCUGUUGGGUAAUGACAUAGUGCCAGAGCAGCAAAUGCAGCGUCUUCGCAACAGUGCUUUGGCGUCAUAUCGAAAGAGAAACAAGCAAGUUCAGGGAGACAAGGUUUACGCUGUUGCAGAGUUCAUUACCGUUCAUCAUCCCAGAAGUGGGGAAACAUUUGGUGUUUCCUCACUGUUGUUAGCUGAAGCAGAGGAAGAAGCUUUAGAAAAAGGAAUACGCACAUAUUUACUUCCAGGGCAAACGUCCCCUUGGUUAAAGUGCAGCCGUCCCUUUCCUGAGUCUGUGCGUUUGAUGGACAAGUAUGUACCCGGUGAAAUAUUACAGGCAGCGAUAGAGAAGCACACGCGGGCAGAGUGUUUCCUGAUCUAUAAUGUGUUAUAUGAUGGAGUCGUGGAGUGCAGUAACUCAUUGGAAGAUGAGGAUGAGGUGGAGUUACCACCGCAGGCCGUCUUAUAUCUGCCUGUCCGAGAACGAAUCUAUGGCCUGUUACUGCCAGUGCAGCCUGAUUGUUCCGGUCACACUGUGUCAGUCAAGGAAUGGUUCGUCUUCCCAGGAAAUCCACUUAAGGAGCCUACCAGAGUCACUCCAAAACCCCUCAACUAUAUAAGCGAGACAGCUUUCUCUGGAAGACGUAGAUGCAUAUCUAAGCCAAGCUGUUUGUGUCCGAUUCAAAUCCUUGACAGAAAUGCAACAGCUCAGGCCCUCCUGGAUGUCUUUGUUCCUGUCCAUCAGAGAGCUGGUGCUGGGAGCCUGCAGGAGGCGCGGCACCCCCGUCCACAGCCGACCGCGCAGACUACAGUACAGAGAUGCGAGGCCUGUGGAGGUUGAUGAUCUGCGUGGAGAGAGACGACCCCAGCUCCAUCAUACCACACAGCAGGAGUUCAGACAGCAGCCUGCAGCUUCAGCACACUACCAGCAAGGUUAUAGACCGAGACCAAGACAUCCAAAGAGAGGAAGGUAUCAGCUUGCACCUAGAUGGCCCAAGUCUCAAAACUAACACAGACUGAUGAAAAAUACAUUACUCUUGUGGAAAGAAUUGUCACCCACAGAACAAAGCACUAAUGAAUCAGAUGUGAAUGUUCAUGUCCAUGUUCUUGGAUGCCUUAAUUUAGAUUUUGCCCCCCUCCCCCCCCUUUUUUUUUUUACUUCAGAUAAUUAGUGACAGACGUCUUUGCAGCAUCAAUGCAUCACUCAAAAACAUGAAAUUGUACUUGAAUGUGCAGUUUUACCAGGCAGAUAGAGAUAACCCUCCCAUUCUGUGUUCAGUGAUAUCCUGAAAAGCCCUCAGAAUUAUAUCUUAUAGUGAGAUUACAGUCUUUUUUUCUUUUCCAUGUGGAUGAUAUGAAUCAGUGACCAAAAUGGAAGCUUCCUAAACUGUGUGCCAAACCCAUUCAUUCGGCUCAGACCCUAAUUAGUCUCAGAUGAUCUCUUACCUUUCAACUGCUGGUUUGACGUUGACUUCAGUUGUUUGCAGUUAAAAAGAUUUUUUGUCCCCUUCAACACAUUUAGAUUCUAGAUUUUCAAGCAGCCAUUCUUUAAAAAAUUGUUAAUAAUAAUGUGUGUCAUAGCAUUGAAAGACGCGGUUAAUGUGAUCCAGAGCAGCCGGAUGGAGAGAUGUUUGGACAGAAUUGUGGUUCUGGCAUAUCAACACCAAAAUGCUCCCACUUCAACCUCAUAUUUUGUUGAUACUCUGUUUCAUGUCCAUCAUGUCUGUAUGUUAUUGCAUAAACUUUUUAUGUUUGUUCAUGCACUAUUUUAUGUCAUGCAAACAUUAAAAACGACCUAAUAUUACAAGUAUUACAUGUUCGCAUUUGAAUAUAUUUUAAAUUUUAAUAUAUUCCUUUGAUGUCCAAGUUGAAUUUUCAGCAUCAUUACUCAGUCUUCAGUGGCACAUGAUCCUUCAAAAAGCAUUCUAAUAUGCUCAGAAAACAUAUUAAAAUCACACGUCAAUAUUGAAAAUUUUUUGAUACACAACAAUACACUACCAUUCAAAAAUGUGGGGUAAGUAGGAUUAAAAAAUAAAUUAAUUUGAAUUAUUAUUCAUAGAAAUUAAUUUUAUUCAUCAAGGAUGCAUUAAAUUGUUUAAAAGUGGCAGUAAAGACAUUUAUAAUAUUACAAUAUUUCUAUUUCAAAUAAAUGCUGUUCUUUUGAACUUUCUAUCCUGAAAAAAGUUUAUCACGGUUUCAACAAAAAUAUCAAGCAGCAAAAAAACAUUAAUAAUAAUUGGGCACCAAUAAUAAUUGAUAAUAAUAAUAAUUGAGCUCCAAAUCAGCAUAUUAGAAUUACUUCUGAAAGAUCAUGUGACACUGAAGACUGCAGUAAUGGUAACUUCUUACAAAAACAUUAAAAAAAAAAUCUGAAUUGUCCCAAAGUUUUGACUGGUAGUGUGAAAAAACACCAUUGUGAUACUUGUGAUUUCUUGAUCUGAUUAUGAUGAAACUCAUGUCCCAGUACAAAAAUUCUGUGAAUGAAUUACCAUAAAGAUAAUGAGCUGUU